rnacentral:rRNA from 1 species
GACGAACGCUGGCGGCGUGCUUAACACAUGCAAGUCGAACGGAAAGGCCCUGCUUUUGUGGGGUGCUCGAGUGGCGAACGGGUGAGUAACACGUGAGUAACCUGCCCUGGACUUUGGGAUAACUUCAGGAAACUGGGGCUAAUACCGGAUAGGAGCUCCUGCUGCAUGGUGGGGGUUGGAAAGUUUCGGCGGUUGGGGAUGGACUCGCGGCUUAUCAGCUUGUUGGUGGGGUAGUGGCUUACCAAGGCUUUGACGGGUAGCCGGCCUGAGAGGGUGACCGGCCACAUUGGGACUGAGAUACGGCCCAGACUCCUACGGGAGGCAGCAGUGGGGAAUAUUGCACAAUGGGCGGAAGCCUGAUGCAGCAACGCCGCGUGUGGGAUGACGGCCUUCGGGUUGUAAACCGCUUUCGCCUGUGACGAAGCGUGAGUGACGGUAAUGGGUAAAGAAGCACCGGCUAACUACGUG